rnacentral:rRNA from 1 species
GGGGAAUAUUGGACAAUGGGCGAAAGCCUGAUCCAGCCAUGCCGCGUGUGUGAAGAAGGUCUUCGGAUUGUAAAGCACUUUAAGUUGGGAGGAAGGGCAGUAAGUUAAUACCUUGCUGUUUUGACGUUACCGACAGAAUAAGCACCGGCUAACUCUGUGCCAGCAGCCGCGGUAAUACAGAGGGUGCAAGCGUUAAUCGGAAUUACUGGGCGUAAAGCGCGCGUAGGUGGUUCGUUAAGUUGGAUGUGCAAGCCCCGGGCUCAACCUGGGAACUGCAUCCAAAACUGGCGAGCUAGAGUACGGUAGAGGGUGGUGGAAUUUCCUGUGUAGCGGUGAAAUGCGUAGAUAUAGGAAGGAACACCAGUGGCGAAGGCGACUGUCUGGUCUGUAACUGACGCUGAGGCUCGAAAGCAUGGGUAGCGAACA